rnacentral:lncRNA from 1 species
ACGAAAUGUAACGGACGUGCGAGCGGUGGCUACCCCAACAAAAGCGUUUUCAAAAUUCCCAAAGUCAACUCAAAAACUUUUUGUAUAUACAAAAAACAACCGUUCAAAAACAAAACAAAACUUCUUGUAAAUAGAGUGUCAAAAGAGUUUUCUUUUAAAUCAUUUUCCCCCGUCGGUGUUUCGUGUUGUGUUUUGAGUGGGGGGAUGGAUGCUAAAUGUUUGGACCCGUAAAAACGUUCAAUUCGGUUCAGUUCCGU